AUUCCAUGGUGAGGGAAUUUUUUGAACAGUUCUUUAAACCUCUCCCAUGCACAGGAACAACUUCAUCGUCCAUUUGUUUAAAAAGACAAAUUUCAUUUCUGAACUU